UUGGUUUUUAAAUCUGGCACCUGCUAGUUUCAUUUGAUUGCAAAUUAUAUUUAUAUUUUAAGAUACAAUAAGCCUUUGCUCUGCUAUUUUUCCAUAUGGCCUAUGUACACCAUUGCCAUGUUGGUCAUCUCUUUUCUAGAAUAAAGAGAAAUUGUGAAUUCAAUUAUUUCUUUUAUGUCAUUGCUUUGUAUACCUUUUCAAUUAUACUAUAUCCUUGAGAUGUAGUAUCAGAAGAGUGCAUGUUCUAAAGGUCCUAUGAGCUAUUCAGCAGUGUGUUGAUGAUUUUUCUUUUAUAAUAAUUAUUUCAGUGUUUGUGGGUUGGUUUCUAACUUAUUUAGCCUUGUACUAACUUUUUCAUAGAAAUAUCAAUGUAAACCAACUUCACAUCAGUGUCAACUCAAUUCAUCAAUAAAUCUAUACCACUUGAAGAAUAUUUUAGCAGUAAAGACAUCAGGUUAUUGAAACCACUGCAGUCUGGCACUCUGUUCCUAUUUUUGCUUGGUUUAUGUCUCUUGAAGAUGUAAAAAGACAAACUGUUGUAAUAAUUUUCAACAUGAUGCUUUUUAAAUCUCAUUGGUUUUGUGCAUACAAGAUAAAAUCUAUAUAUGGUCAUUUUGUACAUAUGGGCAUCCAGAUAAAGAUUUUUUUAGUUCUUGAAGAAGCCACUUUGUAAAUGUGACACAGAGCAAUGUUAUUUUAAAAAAUUUUCCUUGAAACUACAGUGGCAUAAAAGAAAACUUAAAAAUCUUGAGAAUUCUUGGUCUCUUUUCCUAUUUUCUCAAAAUAUGGAAUCGUCUAGUCAGUAAUCACACCUGAAUGUCUUGAGUAAAGGAAACUAGGAUAGUUCAUUGUUUCAUAUGUGACUGGUCCAGAAGUUCUUCAGAAAUAUGGUGUUCUUACAGCAUCUUUUAUUACAACCUCAGCUGAACUAAGCAUAUUCAAUGAAAAUGGUAUGUAAAGGUAAUGCAAAGAAAACAUAAUUUAUUGCUUAUAAUAUUCCUUGAAAUUAUUUGUUACACAGGAGGUCUAUUAAAAUGUGCAUAAGUAUGAUUUCCGGCCUUUUGCAGAUGAAGACAAUGAAGUUCUGAGUUCUCAUAGCAACAUGGAGAAACUGGGAAUAGAAUCCUUGGUCCCCUGACACCUUCCAGCAUCCCAUCCAUAACUAAAGUGUCAUCACAGAAGAACAAAGGAAGAGGCCUGUCUGAAGUAUUUGCGCCUCCAUGGCCUAAGAAAUUGAUGGAAAACCAAUGUGUUUUUUAAAAGAGAGCCCAUGUCUGAAAGUGAAUUUCUUAUUUAGGCACAUGAAAUGCAAGUGAUGUGGCUGGUGCAGCAGACCUGUCCUUGUAUUAGCUGCAACUUGGACUGGGCAUUUCACUCACUGUAGUGGCCAGUAGACAGUGCUUAGUGGAAAGAAUUAAGAAAUAGAUCAAGUAGGAGUUAAUUUUCCCAGGAUGUAUACACAGCCUCCAGCAAUAAUUCCAUGAAAAUUGUGUGAACUCAGCCUGAGCUUGUCUGUGACAUGAAAGGGCAGAUUUUUCGGCCAAAGAAUCAAGUACUGGAAAAACGGGAGCAGCAAGUCAGAGAAGGAGAACAGAAAAAACAGGAAUAUAAAAGCAUAAAACUGCUUCUCCAUUAUAGGAAGUGGUUUGAGAGGUGCAUGAAUCCUGUUAAACAGCAGAAGGUUUGAAUGAGGAGUUGACUGAAGCUGUUAUUGGAGCCAAAAUGCAGGAAGUGAAGAUCCCAUUUGCUUGUGGGCUGCAAAUCCUGGGAAUUAUGAAUGUAAGAAAGACAUGCUUAUUAAAUAUGCGUUGAUACCAAAAAUGUUCAGGUUGAGUUUCCUGGAGAUAGAGAAAUAGGAGUAAUUUAUAAUAAGAUAAACGCCUGACACCUUUUAAUCCUUGCAAGGAUUUCUCUACAGGAUAUUAAUGUCAGGGAAUAUUCACACUUACCAUAUGAUUUUUUUGUUCUAAUGCAAAUUUUGAAGCAGUUCCAAGGUUUCUCUUUUUUUAUGGCUUCCAGAUGACAAUCCUAAAAUUCCUCCUGCAAACCAUUGCAGAAUCAAAUCUAGCACUGAACUAUGUCUAAAAAGAGCCAUUCUUUUGCUGCAGUAUGUCAGGAGCAAUGAAUUACUUGAAAUGUACAUGGUGCUAUGGAGAAAUAGAAAUCAAUUAUUUUUAAGGUGAAUGGGAAAGGACAAAUUGAUAGAACUUGGAAGAUGAUACCUCUUUCUUAAGAAAAUACUUUACGACAAAAAUGUGUCAAAUCUUUCACCUUAUAGCUACAAGAUGAUGGUAAGGUAAAUGAAAAAAAAAUGUGAAGAAAGAAGGCUGCUUUUCUGUGUAUGCAGAGAACAUAGCAAAUGUGCAGCAGAGAAUUCUGUUUCUCCCAUCCAGAGAUGGAAGCUAGUGGAGUUGAAAAGGCUUUACAAAAUUAGUAUUGAAAGACUGAAGUAUUUAUAUUAGGCUAUCACUCUUUUUUUGUAUUUAUUUUAACUCAUGUGAUGUAUCUCUCGGGAAAGGAGCAAAUAAAGCAUGUGGUCCAAAUCUAA